rnacentral:misc_RNA from 1 species
GAUGAAGAACGUAGCGAAAUGCGAUAAGUAAUGUGAAUUGCAGAAUUCAGUGAAUCAUCGAAUCUUUGAACGCACAUUGCGCCCGCCAGCACUCUGGCGGGCAUGCCUGUUCGAGCGUCAUUUCAACCAUCAAGCCCCCAGGGGCUUGUGCUGGGGCCCUGCGGCUGCCCGCAGGCCCUGAAAACCAGUUGCGGGCUCGCUAGUCACACCGAGCGCAGUAGCACAUCUCGCUCAGGGCGUGCGGCGGGCUCCUGCCGUGAAACCCCCCACUGUAACCCCAAAGGUUGACCUCGGAUCAGGUAGGAAUACCCGCUGAACUUAAGCAUAUCAAUAAGCGGAGGA